GGAUGUGAGGGUGAUCUGGCUGCAACACCUGUCACUGAUCGCCAGGGUUGACUCAGCUGAUCUGGCUGACUAAGUGGGUGUCCCCUUCCUCCCUUACUGCUCCAUGUGCGUCCCUCCCGAGGCUGUGCGAUUGGUGACCCCGUGGAAGAGGACGACCUUCCCCGAAUAGAGGAGGACCGGUCUUUGGUCAAGGGUACACGAGUAGCUACUAAAACCUCCAAACAAGUUCUCAAGAAACUGAUGCAUGGUUUUAAGUACAUUUGUGAAGAUUAGCAUGUUUUUAACAUAUAGUAUGUUAUACUUAAAUGAGUAA
rnacentral:snRNA from 1 species